rnacentral:rRNA from 1 species
AAAACACUCCUACGGGAGGCAGCAGUGGGGAAUAUUGCACAAUGGGCGAAAGCCUGAUGCAGCAACGCCGCGUGAGGGAUGACUGCCUUCGGGUUGUAAACCUCUUUUAGUAGGGAAGAAGGACUUCGGUUUGACGGUACCUGCAGAAAAAGCACCGGCUAACUACGUGCCAGCAGCCGCGGUAAUACGUAGGGUGCAAGCGUUGUCCGGAAUUAUUGGGCGUAAAGAGCUCGUAGGCGGUUUGUCGCGUCUGCUGUGAAAACCCGAGGCUCAACCUCGGGCCUGCAGUGGGUACGGGCAGACUAGAGUGCGGUAGGGGAGAAUGGAAUUCCUGGUGUAG